UAUAUAUAUAUAUAUAUAUAUUAAACACAAGUCUUUUCCUCUCUUAUCACUAAUUCAUCAAAGAUCUGUCCUGCUCCGAAACGGAAAGAAAGGGGGAAAAUGAUGAUGCUGAUGAGAUAUUUUGCAUUAAAAGCACUGUCCUUUGUUGCUAAUUUGAUGGGGUUUGAUGUCUACGAUAGGAGCGGAGUGGGAGUGGGUGGUGCGAUAACGAGCUCAUUCAACAACAAGGGUAACGGAACCCAGAUCUUCCGCAAUGCCACAAUCAUAAUUACUAGAGGAUGUUGCAUGCUUCAUGAUGAUGACGGUGAUGGUAUUGGUAUUAGUAUAUAUAUGUGUGUUUCCCACUUUUCUAUUUCUUGCUCGGAGCCCUUCCACUUGUUGCCCUACUGGUCAUCCCAACCAUAGAUCAACAAACGCCUUCAAGCGGAAUCAUCACCGUUCGAUCGCCAACAUCUCUGUCUUUGUCCUGCACCAGAUUCAAUUCUGGUCACCUCUAAUUGUUUUCUACCGGCUACAAUAUUCUAAUCAAAUCUUCACAACCGAUGCUGUUCCUGCAAAGACUAAGCAUUCAACUCUAUGAACGAACUAUUAAUGUUCACAAGAUUUGAACAACAGACAAUUUAUUCAAAGGACACAAGCUGGGACUAUUUGUGCCAAAUUGACAAAUCAUUGUUCUUUAGGAUUUGGCCUCUAAGUUUCUAGUUAAAUACAGGUUCAAAAGAAGUUAGUCCCCAUUUGAUUGCUAUCUUUGAGGAGUUACAAAAGGCUCUCUCCACAGAUUUACAGUUGUUUUGUGCCGAUCAAAGUUUGAUCAGUAAUUAAGAAUUCACUCUUUAAUGCUAGUGCUCUCUUUAUUGAAUCAAAGAAUUCACUAAAAGGCGAACUUUUGGACACAGUAUGGUGAGAAACUCAUUCAACAACGAGGGAAAUGGAAUACAAGACUUCAGCAAUGCAACAAUAAUCAUGACCAAAGGGUGUAGCUGUACCAAGGUGGAUCACCUGCUCCUGUGCUCUCUCUACAGCAAAAAAAUCAAAAGCAAAAACCGAGAGAGAACGAAGAAAUUAAUAAAGAAAAGAUGGAGGAAAGAGACUGUAGAGAUCCAAGUCCGUAGCUGUACCUCAACUUAUGCGGGACUCAAGACUCGUCAAACUGAUUUGUUAAACAAAUUCUAGGUUUAUCCUAUUAUUUAUUUAUUAUUUUGUUUAACAUUCAAUCUUCAAAAUCGCAUUGUUAACUGUUAAGCCAAUAGGAUUGAAGGAAGCUUUUGGAAUCUUUCAUGUUUGACUACUUUUGCUCAACUCGAUAAUCUGACCAACCUUUGGUUUCAGCUUCAUUUUAAUAUUUGAGUUGUGUUAUUCAUAUGAUAACCAAUACAAUUAUUUAUUCGAUAUAUAUUGCAUUUUAUAUAUCUAUCUUUUUUCAUUAGAUAUUUUAUUACCCUGUUUAUUGUAUUU